UACGGAGGGUGCGAGCGUUGUCCGGAAUCACUGGGCGUAAAGGGCGCGUAGGCGGCCUGAUAAGUAGGGGGUGAAAUCCUGCGGCUUAACCGCAGGGCUGCCUUCUAAACUGUCAGGCUCGAGCACAGUAGAGGCAGGUGGAAUUCCCGGUGUAGCGGUGGAAUGCGUAGAGAUCGGGAGGAACACCGAUGGCGAAGGCAGGUCUCUGGGCAUUAACUGACGCUGAGGAGCGAAAGCAUGGGGAGCGAACAGG
rnacentral:rRNA from 1 species